rnacentral:lncRNA from 1 species
GUACUGGAAUUGGUCUUAGAUUCCAAGGUACAUGCGGUACAGUGAAGAUAACCAUAGGUGUUAUAAUAUUCGGAUCCACACACCCAAUUUCAUAAGAUUCGAAGGCAAAUGAUCUACCUUGUUUAGCCAACAUCUUUUUGAAGUAUGUAAUUUCCUCCGACAAUAAAGAACCAUCAGAACCAAUCUUCAAUUCUUCAAAAGUCUCUUUAAUAAACUGAUGUCCAAUACUCAUUGGAUCUCUUAAACUUGCU